AAAUCUCAAAAAAAAAUCAAGCAAAGCAAAUAAAUAAACAAUCACGAUAUAAGAAAUUCUAAAUAAAGACGAACACUAUGGAAAGAAACAAAACUAGCCUCUCUCCUGGAUCCACGGAGUACUUACAACCUGGACAUAGCUACAAAUAAGAGCAUCGACAGCAGCGCCUUCUUCUGUCUUCCCCUCCGGGCCACUGAAGACUGGAUGACAGCGACUGAUGACGCCCCUAGAGUUAUCAAAUCAACAAUACAACUAACAAACCAGCUAAAUGUAAUUAUAUUUAAGAAUAGUAAUCCAAAUUAAAUUUAAAGAAUAGUAAUCCAAAUUGAAUUUAAAGAAUAGUAAUCUAAAUUGAAUUUAACGAAGAAAAUCUGACUUAGUCUUUACUCUUCCCCACCAAAUUAAAUCUGUAUAAAUAACUACAACUUUACUAGAUAGAUAUAUAUAUGUAUAUAAAAAAGAAAACACUCAAUUAUUUGUAAAAUUCAAACUUUAUUAAUAAACACUUAUAUUAAGUUUCGCCUACUACUAGCUUAUAAUACUUACCACAUAAGUGAAUUGUAAAUAAGCUGCCAACUAAUUUCUAGAAAGUACUAACGCAAAGCACUGAGAAAUGAAUAAAGACACCCUGUUCCCUCUUCUCUCACCUUUACGCUGCUGGGCAGCCUAAAGCUUGAGGCGAGAAAAAGCAGGGCAAUUGUGUAUGUGAUUCCCUCGCAUGCAGGCUGAAAAGUUUAUACUCUCAUUAAUCAAACAAGAACACUUAAUACAAGUACUAGACAGUGGCAUCUUCAAGCGCUAUCUGAAAGAUACAACUCAUUAAAAUUUUACUGCUGAAUUAAAGAUACAAAAUAGACAAAUUAAUACUUACAAUCAACAAGCUGCUUGCGGCAAAACCUAAACUAAAACAAAAACAAAACAAAUAAAUAAAUAAAUAAAAAUAAAUAAAAAUAAAAAAAUAAAUAAAUAAAAAAAAAAUAACUAGAUUAGGCAACAGUAAUAAUUGAACAAAACUGGGAAGCUAUGAAAUUAUACUCUAAUAAGGAAAAUAAACAAAUGCUCUGCAACUUGCCCGCACACCUACAACUAUCUAGUGAAAUAAUAUACCUGCAGCAAACAAAUAACAUAAUUCGCUAUAGCUAACUUAUAAAAACAAAAGUAUACAAUAAUCCUCACAUCUACAAUCUACAAGCCCCUAAAUCAUAAAUAGUCAAAUUUAUACUUACAAUCAACAAGCUGCUCGCUGCAAAACCUAAACUAAAACAAAAACAAAAAAAAAAUAAAAAUAAAUAAAUAAACAAAAAUAAAAAAAAUAACUAGAAUAACAUAAUUUCACUAUAACUAACUAAUAAUAACAAUAUUAUACAAUAUUCCUCACAAAUACAAACUACAAGCCUCCUAAACGAUAAAAACUGGUAAACUAUUUGACAUCCCCAACAUAUUAAUGCAAUUCUAAAUAUCUAAUAAUAUAAUACAAUACAACUAACUAGUAAUUACACUAUAACUAACUAAUAAUAAUAAUAUAACUAAUAAAACAACAAUCAGAUAAAAAAAUAAAAAUAAAAAUCAAACAAUAAAUAUAUAUAGCACAUAACAACCAAACACUAAAUCAAACGCUAAUACUGAAGACAAGACAAGUCUAAGCAAGGAAAAGAAGCUGACAAAGCAGUAAUCUUCAACAAGAAACAAAAGGAAGCAACUUUGAUACCCACCCUCGCACGUAUUGCUCACAAAAAAUAAGAAUAAAUAAAUAAAAUAAAUAAACAAAUAAAAUAAAAUAAAAAUAAAAAUAUAUAAAUUAUAAAAGACCUAUUAAAUAACAACUUAGCUACCUGCGUAUAAUAAAUAAACUUAAUAUAAUCCAAACAUAAACACCUAGUACGAACACAUCCUAAAGUACGCUAUUUGUCAAAAUUCGAUAGCCACAAAGGAAACAAAUACUCUGCGCCAUAUAUUAAAACUCAAAUUACCCCAGGCAAAUGCAAUCUUAAACUUAAACUACUACACUAAAUAACAAGACAAAUAUUCCUAAAAGACUAAAAUUCACUAAAUGAAACAAAGUCUAAACAAACAAUAACUCAGACUAAGGGAAACAAGCAAAACAAUAAACUAAUGACAAUUCUACAAACAAAACAAUAACCUAAGAAUAACAAAUAACCUAUUUAUAUACUAUAAAAUCAGACUUGGUAACUUUCCACGUCUUAUCUGGAAAUAAAAAGAUUUAUAAUAAUAAAGCCAGUCCUUUUGCUACAUAUAUAAGCACAUACUCACCCAUCCAUCAUCAACUUGGCUGUCCUCUCUGGUGCCACCUGCAAUGAAACAAAUUACAUUGAAACAAUAUAAACAACUUUAAACUAUAACACAGUACUCACCAAACAAUAAUUAAUUCCUGAAUCCUAAUAAAUUGAAACUACUUACCAAACGAAUCCAACCACCAAAUAAGAACAAAGCUGAAAAUACACAAAAUGUUUAAAAUUCGAUAACGAUAAAAUUGUACAAAAUACUAAAACUCGAUAAUGAUAAAGUAAGCAACCCUACUCAAAGAUAAAUUGACGCGCAAGCUACGCUAGCACAAAUUUAACAAAUACCGCGCGCGAACACAAAUAAUUCUACGAUCCAAUAAAAUAAAUCAUCGCAAUACAUGCAGUUGAACUACUCCAAUAAAUAAAUCACCGCAAUACAUGCAGUUGAACUACUCCUGCCGACAACUUUUAAUGAUACUUAAUAUAAUAAAUAUGCAAGUAAACGAUGAAAACAAAUAUGUACUUACCAAUCUUACAACAUGGCCGCCUCAACUAAUUCCUGCUGCAAAUAAAGACUAAAAACACAAGCAACAAAACAAAACGGGCUAAACUUCUAAUUACAUAUGCAACACUCGCAACAAAACUUUCUAAUAAAAGUGCAAAACCCUAAGUAAAAACAAAAUAAAUACGCUAAACAACCAUAAUUAUAAAUAAAUAAUCGAUUUAACAAAGCAAAUAAUAAAAACACUUAACAAUAAAUUAAUAAAUAAAACAAAUGUUAAAAUGGAUAGACAAAACAAAUAAAUAAACUUAUAACUAAUACACGAUAUUUCAAUAAUAUACCCACCUCGCUAUACACGCUACUGAGUGAAUCUUGCAGUCAAAUCUAACAAACAAAAAAUAAAUAAAUAAUAAUAAUAAAUCCAAAAACUUAAAUAUAAACAAAGUUAAAGCCCAUAGCAAGCUAAUAAUAAAUUAAUAUUCUUACUAAUAAAACCAACAAUAAAUAAAAAUCUCAAAAAAAAUCAAGCAAAGCAAAUAAAUAAACAAUCACGAUAUAAGAAAUUCUAAAUAAAGACGAACACUAUGGAAAGAAACAAAGUAAGCAAAAGCCAGAAAAUAAAGGGUGCCUAUGAAUAAAUAGCAAGUCUCAGACUAGCCUCUCUCCUGGAUCCACGGAGUACUUACAACCUGGACAUAGCUACAAAUAAGAGCAUCGACAGCAGCGCCUUCUUCUGUCUUCCCCUCCGGGCCACUGAAGACUGGAUGACAGCGACUGAUGACGCCCCUAGAGUUAUCAAAUCAACAAUACAACUAACAAACCAGCUAAAUGUAAUUAUAUUUAAGAAUAGUAAUCCAAAUUAAAUUUAAAGAAUAGUAAUCCAAAUUGAAUUUAAAGAAUAGUAAUCUAAAUUGAAUUUAACGAAGAAAAUCUGACUUAGUCUUUACUCUUCCCCACCAAAUUAAAUCUGUAUAAAUAACUACAACUUUACUAGAUAGAUAUAUAUAUGUAUAUAAAAA